CGUGUAGGCGGCUGGAUAAGUCAGAUGUGAAAGCCCUGGGCUUAACCCAGGAAGUGCAUUUGAAACUGUUCAGCUUGAGUAAGGGGAGAGGAAAGUGGAAUUCCUGGUGUAGAGGUGAAAUUCGUAGAUAUCAGGAGGAACACCGGUGGCGAAGGCGACUUUCUGGCCCUAUACUGACGCUGAGACGCGAGAGCGUGGGUAGCAAACA
rnacentral:rRNA from 1 species